UACGUAGGGGGCAAGCGUUGUCCGGAUUUAUUGGGCGUAAAGAGCGUGUAGGCGGUCAGGUAGGUCCGUUGUGAAAACUCGAGGCUCAACCUCGAGACGCCGAUGGAAACCAUCUGACUAGAGUCCGGAAGAGGAGAGUGGAAUUCCUGGGUGUAGCGGUGAAAUGCGCAGAUAUCAGGAAGAACACCCGUGGCUAAGGCGGCUCUCUAGUACGGUACUGACGCUGAGACGCGAAAGCGUGGGGAGCGAACAGG
rnacentral:rRNA from 1 species